rnacentral:ncRNA from 1 species
UAUAUGUACUUUAUAUUCACCCAAAAAAUGUAUGCUCUGGACUUUUCAAAUAAUUGAAAAUUUAGUGAAAAAAGGCCAACUUGAAACCAAAAUAUACAACAAUGAUGAAGAGUCGAGAUUGACCUAAUGAAACCAAGGGACAUGAUCAUUUCACUUAGAAAGGUUCGAGGACCUUUAUCCUUACUUAUAAAUAGAGGUCUCAGGAAUCGAGAGCCCUAUUGUGGCUGGACCCGAUCGCACCACGAGGCAUUGUUUGAGAGUCUGGUGGAAAAUUCCGUCCAAGGCUAAAUAUAGGUGAUGGACCGAUAACAUACAAGUAUAAUGGGGGAAAGAUGAAAAGGACUUUAAAAAGAGAGUCAAAGAAUACUUGAAAUUAUCAGGAGGGAAGAGGAUGGUGGUCGGCGAUGCGCCUUAGCUAGAUGUGGAACGAUGAUAGUGAGUCCACCAAUUGGCUCAAGGCGUUGACCGAUGCGAAUUGUGGUGGUGGCCUAAACCCGAGCCUUUAAAAUGCCCACAAAGAUGCCAUUGUCACAAUCAUGGACUAUAGCGCGCACCAUCAUGGUGUGCCUCAGCACAUGCACACUCCGGGUAUUGGCCUGCGGGCUCCCUAUUUGUCCCAUCUUGAAACACGA